ensembl:lncRNA
GAGAGAGAGAGAGAGAGAGAGAGAGAGAGAGAGAGAGAGAGAGAGAGAGAGAGAGAGAGAGAGAGAUAAUGGAGCCUCUUUCCCCCCACGCCGUUCCCAUGGUGAUAUCACUCCUGUCUUCCUUCGUGGUGGGACACAGACUCAUUUGCGCAUUGGCUGUGACAGCCUCCUACCUCUCACUGACUGGAAACAGCAGGGGCCUGAGAGGAGCCAUCGGUGGAAAUAGCAGGGUAUCUCCUAUAACUGAACGAGAGGGGAAGGAUGGAGGGAGGGAGAAAGAGGGUGGGGUAAUUAGAGAACGGUACCCAUAAGAAGGUAGGAGAGAGAUGGGUCCCUACAGUGAUGCUCAUCAUAACACUAGGGGUUCGUGUCCAUAAUUAGACCUACUUUACUACAGUAUCUCACUGUAUAUUGGCUUUGGAAAAACGUGGAGACUUCUCCAGUUACACAAACAGUAUGAAAACCAUCAUUUUAAUUUGAACACAUUUUUCUUCCCUCAUUCUCCCUCUGUAUGGGUAGCCGCCUCUGAAAUCGAACCCACAACCCUGGCGUUGCAAUACCGCAUUAUACUUCUGUGUUCCCCAGGAUUCAGUUGGAUCCUCUGGAGAAGGACUGGCUACGAUCCUGUGCCCUGGGGAACACAGCUGCUCUCCGACAGCUCCUCACACAGGACCCCAGCCUGGCCUCAAAGAAGGACUUCAUCACUGUAAGUAGUUUCCAGUAUUUCUCCUACCAUCCUCCCUUCCUCUUUUCCUGGCCCUAACCUAAUCUGUUAUGUUGGUGAUUCACAUAGAAAAGUAGUCCAGAUACAAUAGCUUUGUUUUUUUGUUUUAUUUCUGCAGUUUGAUGUUUUACCAAAACAAAUACAUAGUUUCUUCUUGAAUAGUCAGUACUAUGCCAAACUGUACAGAUGAAGAGGAAACAUAGUGUGACGUCAACAUGUUAAGUGUAUAUCCUCUACUCUUCAAAUGGCCUCCAUGAUUUACCCCGUGUGUAAUGGGGGAAACAGGCGGUGGACUCAAAUGACACAGGUUUCAAUUCUUCAGACCCCCACCUAAUAUACUGCACUACUCUCUCCAGUGUGCAUCGACAGCCCCUCUCCUCCACCUAUUGGCUAACACGUCUGUAUUCAUUUCUAUCUGACCGGUCCGCUGGCUGGUUAAACCAAUCCCUUCCUUCCCACUGAAGCUCUGGCGUUUGAGUGGGAGCACUUACAAAACAAUGGUCUAAAGGAAAUCAGACGCUUCAGCUACAACAAACAAGCAGUUAGUAAACUUCUUAGCAUGACGAAAUGAGGGAGGAUGGAGAGAUGUAGGGACAGAGAGAUGGAGGGAGAGAGACUCCCCACCUUUAUCAGAGGGGCAGGAGAGCCAGAUUAGAGAAGAACAUGUGACAAAAAAAGGACAGGUUAUCCCCCUUUCCAAAACCUAUGAUUCUAUCCAAGAUUUAAGGUGGAAGGUGUUAAAAAAAUCUCAACAACCAGCUGUUGUGAACCAUGAUAGGUUGAAUUUUGUAAAUGAUUCAAAUGAUCAAAUAAUACAUUAUUGACUAAUUCUGCAGACAAAACUGAACAAUAUUAAUAUUAUUACUCCUAUAGGAAUGACGUCUUAUACUCUAACAAGAACCAUAAUAUUCAAUAUUCUCUUUCUCCUAUGAACUGUACUGCCCGAUGGCCGUUCUACAACUGUUUUGUGUUAACCUUGCUGCUGGAAACCAAGGGG